rnacentral:sRNA from 1 species
CCGCACGGAGCUCCGCGUUUUCCACCUGC